ensembl:lncRNA
UUCCUUUCCUUUUUCCUUUCCUUUUUCCUUUUUCCUUUUUCCUUUUUCCUUUUUCCUUUUUCCUUUUUCCUUUUUCCUUUUUCCUUUUUCCUUUCCUUUCCUUUUUCCUUUCCUUUUUCCUUUCCUUUCCUUUUUCCUUUCCUUUCCUUUCCUUUCCUUUCCUCCUGCUCAGAGGGCACCGCCGAGGAGGGGUUUGGCCAUGGGAACUGGUAAGAGAAAUGCACAAUGUAAAGGAAGAUUUACAAUCUAAGUUGAGAUGUUGGAAGGAAGGUGGGAGAAAGGGAGGAAUAGGCAGGGACAGAUUUGGGGGCUCAGAGCCCGUGAGCAGCACAGCCAGGGGAGCCUCAGAGGCUGUGACCCUGCUGGAACUGCCUGACUUGAAUAAGGAGCUUUUUAGCCUUGUGAGGCAGGGUUGGUUGGUGUCUUUGGGGUGUUUGGUGGAGCAAGGAGUCUGUCAAGGAAUGGAGAAGCCUGGAAACUCCUCAGGGACCCUCCUCACCUUUGGUCCUUCCACAGCUCUGCCAGGCACGUUGGAAAUUUGUCUUUCCCACAAGGAAUGGCUUUGGGCUCAGUAAGAAGGACUCACUGUUUGCAGGCUCAGUGUUAUUUCCCACAGCACACUGUUGCUUUUGAAUGGCAUGCCAGGAUCUGGGAAGGAAGGAGGAGAGGGGGGGAAUCCUUCACCCUCAUGAGUCAAAACCCCACCCCACCUCCUGGAGUGCUUCUCAUUCUGCCAAUGGUCUCUGUUGGACUGUUCUUGUUCAGAAGUUGGUCCUGGAAGUCUGAGAAAGAGGAGAAGAAAUCCUCUCCAGCUGUUUGUGUUAGAAUGGGAUAGGAGGGUGAUGUCUCCUGCCACCCUGCUGCCUUUCUCUCUGAGUUUGUAAGGUUCAUAACAUCUGCUUUACCAGGCUCACCCAAGAAUGCAGGAUUUGAGAUCUUCUGAAAAUCCCAUUUGUGUUCUGCUUGUGCCAUGGGCAAACCAGAAUCCUCUGGUAGACCUCUGCCUCUGGUAUGGUUUAGCAGAGGGGCUGUGUAUAGCAGACAUUAGUUGGGCCACAGAAAAAUAAGGAUUUGACCUGUACUGGGUGUGCUGCAGUGGCUCUCGUGAAUCUGGAAAAGAAGGAAUGAUGAAGAAAAGAAAAAAUGAUAGAAAAUGGGCACUUGGAGACCUGGAAACCACCGUGGCAUUGGCCUCUUGUCAUAACACAGGUUCUUUUCUCUUAGACUGACUCCUGCUUCCUAGAGAGAGCAGCAGGCAGAGGAUCCUGGCAUAUAUCCAUGUCUGGGCACAUGGAUUCUGUGUGAAGACAGCUGGAAGGCUGGGACAGAUGUACCUGUCUGCUCUGCUCUGUGGUGCAGGUUGCAGUGAAUGCUCCCAGUGCUGGCUGCAGCAGUGCAGCUGCAGGGGGGCAGGAGAGCAGCAGGGCUGUGGGGCAGGGCUGGGCUGGCAGCACAACCACCCCUGGCUCAGCGGCUGCCCAUCCCUUCCUGCCAAAAGGAGCUUUCUUAGCACCUUGUUCUCACACCUGUGCGCCUCUAUUCGACAGCCUGGAAAAUAAAUAACCUGCCAAGGUGGGAAAAUGAAUACCC